rnacentral:misc_RNA from 1 species
CGGAGCUGUUUUAAGCAGACGCUUUUCUGCUCUCUUUUACUAGUCACACUGUAUUACAAAGCACUUGUGCUGAAAAUGUUCCAGUUUCGAAUGGUGAUUCUCACCUCCUCAUGACAACUCAGACUCCUCAGGCAGUUAUGAGUUCAUUCAGGGAUGCAUUCUGGGGGCCUACAGGGUUUGAAGAGCUACGUCGCCUUUUGAAGCAGGGCGCUGAUUUUUCUAAGGAAGUGGUCAGCAUAUUGCAGGAGCGGUCCGAGUUGGAAGCUGUGCAUGCUAAGAGCUUGGCAAAGCUCUCUCAGCGCCUUGCCAGGGCAGCCAGGGAUGCCAUUGGCACAAGUGCCACAGCUUGGCAGGAAGUGGCCACACAGUUGGAACGGGAGGCCCAGCUUCACAGAGGUCUGUCGCGAGGCCUGUCGGAGGGAGUGUGUGGGCCUCUGCGAGCCUCCUGCGAGGCCCAGGCAGGACGGCGCAAGGCUCUCGAGGCAGCUGUGGAGCGCCGUGCACGUGCCGUGCGGGAUCGUCGUGCCCUUCAGGAUCGGACCAAGCGCCACGCCUACCAUUGUGCCCGGAUCAAUGAGCAGGCCCAAGGGCGGGUGCUCGAACCCCGCUCGCAUCGGGGCAUGCGCCUCCUCACUGAUAGAGACCUCCACAAGCUGGAGAGCAAGCGGCGCAAGGCGGAGAAUGCUCUGACCAAGGCCGAGGGCGAAUAUUACGGCGCGUGCAUGUCGGCUGAGCAGGCACGGCAGGAGUGGGAGACGCUGCUGUUCCAGACUGCCGGCUGGCUGCAGGCUCUGGAGCAGGAGCGCCUGGAGGCACUGCACGCAGCAUUGUCACGAUAUGCCCAGCACUUGUUGCACAAAGCCCCACAAGCGCUGCAGUGUGCUGAGUGUGUGCAGGCACAGACAGCCCAUGUGGAUGCCAAGCAGGACAUUGAGGAGGCUGUGCGCCUUAGAGCCACUGCACCCAACGUGCCUGAGCAGCUGCUACCAGAUUUCUAUGCGGAGGAUCUGUCAAGUCCCAUGCAGCCCCAGAGGCGCAAAGAGGCCCUUGAGAGGCUGCUACAGCUGCUACAAAAGGACCUUGACACAGAGCGGCGAGGAAAACAAGGUGUGGAGUCUUUAGCCCAGGCUUUCAGGGAAUCUCCUCGCUUUGGUGAUGAGGAGGCCCAGCUACGUGUCCAAGAGAAGCUCCAACAGCUGCGGCAAAGCCUGGCAUUUUUGGAGGCAUCGCGCCACAAGGUGCAGUGCUGUCUGGCAGGCCUGGAGGGUCAACCAAGGCCACCACAUCCACUGGCUCCACAUUUAGAGCAGCGCAGGGACCGACAGGGUUUGGCGCAGACAGUGCUUAAGAUUCCACCCUGGCUACAGCGGCGUUCCUCAAGUGCCGAGGAGUGGGACCGUGGGGCAGCCGACGGGGGUGCCGAAGUCCCCGUGUCCCUUGAGACUGAGCAGGAAGAAGAAGAGCAGCCAUAUGCUAAUGUGCUGCCCUCACAGUGCCGAGCGUUGUACGACUACCAGGCCACCAUGGAUGAUGAGCUCAGCCUGCGCUCAGGUGACCUGGUGACAGUGCAUAGCCGUGCUGAAGAUGGCUGGUGGCACGGCGAGAAAGAUGGCCACUGGGGCGUCUUUCCUGCCAGCUACGUCCAGGAGCUUGGUCCAAAGCCCGGAUAGAGAGUCAACGACAUCUUUUGAUUGAACACUUUCAACAUUUGGUGCCACAUGGAGCUAUGUUCAUUAUGCCACUAGCUGAAUAAAAUCAGUCGUAGGUUUACUCUGCAAAGACAAGCAAUUGCAAAUGGCAACGAGAAGCUCCGUGACAGGAACGGCUGCACCUGCCAUGGUGGGCAGCCUUCGCCUGCAUCCCUGGAGCAUGUCGAGGGUUCCUGUGGAGCCACGUUGUUGGCCACAGCUGAAAGGCCUUUGGGUGACAGAAAAAGUGAGAAACAAAGGCCACCUUGCCAGACGUCCGUACAAGCAGGUGUCCAGCUACAAUUACCUCUGUAUUUACCCUCGCUGUCAAGCCCCAGCAGAAGACUGCAGCAGCGCUGAGGCUGGCGUGGGUCCAGUAGUGUCAGGCAGAUCCGGUAGCCACGCCCUGCGAAUGAACAAUUUGUCUUCAGCGCACUCAAGCGGGCACAACAUAGUGCACUAAAGUCUAGCACUCAUGACAAAGCUACCCUUUUCAAUUACACAAAGGCAGUUCCACAAGAGAUCAAGACAGGUCGUACAUUUCAGUUUUUAACCUCUUUCAUAACUUUAUAUAUCCUGCACAAUCAGUCAAAAGGACAAAACAAAAUAUGACUUCCCCAGAAAGCAACCAGUUACAGGAAAAAUUGUGAAACAGUAUCAGGUGGUAGGACCAUUUUCACAGAAAGUGUUUUCUUAAUGUCAGUCAUGUUGCAAGCGAAAGAAGGAAACCACAACAAUCAAAUUUUUUAUGUAGCCAGCAUAAGUAAUGUAGCCAGCAUAAUUGCCUUCAUUAAGCAAAAGUGUACCAUUGGUAUUAAAGCAUUAAUUAACUGAAAAGGAUAUUUCUUCAACGCAUUAUUAUUUAUUUUAUUUUCAUUUAUUUCAUACUGCAGAUCGUGUUAUAGACCCAAGCAGAUCAAAUACAGAAAUUGAUAACAUAGGGUCAAAGGUAGCAAGUAAAAACAAAAAACAAGAACAAAAAAAUCAGCAUCACAAUACGUGGUCAGUUAUGUUGGUGAACUCCACUCUCUAAUGCUACGCAGGAAAAAAGAAAAUUGGAAUGUGUCAGUGCGAGCAAAGUGAGGGGUUAGCAAACCGGGUUGAUGGUGAAGCAUAUGGUUAGAAACUAUACAUAGGGUGCAGGAUCAAGCACCAAUUCUUUAUUUAUUAGUAAGAAAAGAAACUCUCGACGCAUAUUCUUUCUUGUUUCAAGGAAUUGGUUACUGCCAUUUUUCAUUAGCUCAGACGGUGAAUCGAACGGUGAAAAUAUUGAAUAAAUAAACCUUACUGCUUUCCUUUGAA